UGAGCAACCUGCCCUUGACUCUGGAAUAACAGCUGGAAACAGCUGCUAAUACCGGAUACGACCUCCGAUGGCAUCAUCUGGAGGUGGAAAGCUCCGACGGUCAAGGAUGGGCUCGCGGCCUAUCAGCUUGUUGGUGAGGUAACGGCUCACCAAGGCUUCGACGGGUAGCCGGCCCGAGAGGGCGACCGGCCACACUGGGACUGAGAUACGGCCCAGACUCCUAGGGAGG
rnacentral:rRNA from 1 species